CUCAGGAUGAACGCUGGCGGCGUGCCUAACACAUGCAAGUCGAGCGGUAUAUACUGGAACGAAACUUCGGUCUAGAGAAGGUAUAGAGAGCGGCGGACGGGUGAGUAACGCGUAGGCAACCUGCCCCAUACAGAGGGAUAGCCUCGGGAAACCGGGAUUAAAACCUCAUAAUACGAAAGCUUCACAUGUUGCUUUCGUCAAAGAUUUAUCGGUAUGGGAUGGGCCUGCGUCUGAUUAGCUAGUUGGUGAGGUAACGGCUCACCAAGGCGACGAUCAGUAGCCGACCUGAGAGGGUAAUCGGCCACAUUGGAACUGAGACACGGUCCAAACUCCUACGGGAGGCAGCAGUGGGGAAUAUUGCACAAUGGGCGAAAGCCUGAUGCAGCAACGCCGCGUGAGCGAUGAAGGCCUUUGGGUCGUAAAGCUCUGUCCUUGGGGAAGAAAAAAUGACGGUACCCAUGGAGGAAGCCCCGGCUAACUACGUG
rnacentral:rRNA from 1 species